GCAUUCCAGAAAAGCCACCCUACCGAAAUCCGACUAGCAGCCAUACAGGCCUUCAGACGCAUUCCCUGCGCUGCCAACGUAAGUGACUGACACUCGCACCAUAUUAGUCCAGCUGUAUCAAGCCGCUGAUGAUGAUGUGGAAAUAAGAAUUGCUUCAUAUUAUAUAGCAAUGAAAUGUCCGAGUAAAGAGCUAUUUCGCCAAGUACAACAGACUUUUCAGCGAGAGACAUCUAGCCAAGUGGGUUCUUUUGUUUGGAGUCACCUCUCUCAACUCCUGGAGACAGACGACCCCCUGAAAGAAUACCUCCGUGACUCCAUUCCUGAUGACAUUCUU
rnacentral:lncRNA from 1 species